GAGUUAAUUAUCAUAAUCCAUUAAUACGAUAGGCUAAAUAAAAGAUAUAUAACGUGUUAUUUAUAAUCGGGUCCGGUGCCGGGUUGGAGGUCCCCUCCUAUACACACUACUCAGGCCUAUCGAGUUAUUGUUUUUUAUUCGAUCUCAAACCCGCCCAUACCCGACUCAAACUCCUCCAACCUCACCCCAUUAAAAUCGAGUAGACGGGGCACCGGUUGGAGCUAGAUUUGGUUUCCAUCCCUAAUCUGGUCAAGUGGGGUUGGUGUUAGUUGUUUCUCCACAGACUGAUGGUCAAAUUCUUGCCUCACUGGCAUAUAUUGCCAAUUAUCUCACAGCUUAUUUUGCUACAAGAUGAUUGGUACUUUAAGAUAUUAUGCAUAUUCUCUAAGCACCUAGGUUACAACUCAAUAGUGCACUGACAGGUACUUCCAAGUAGCUUGGCCAAAUAAAUGGGUAUCAACUGCUUCACAUCACAGGGCAGAUUAUUUUAAUAGUCUUUUGCCCUUACUUUCCUAUCUUUUCUUUUUUAUUUUAUUAACCAUAUUUUGUAAUUUAACCCAUGGAUUAGUCCAGUGAGUAACAUCUAGGUUUCAUUACCCAAAUCCCUAGUUCAAAUCUCCUCUGUGUUAAUCAUCCGAGCAUUAACGCAAAAGUUGAUAAAAAAAAUCUUUCAAUCUAAAAAAAAAUUGUACCCAUACCGACUAUGUAGCCAGCCACCAUCAGAACCUGAAAUGUCAAGCUUCUAGAGUCGCUUUAGGACUUUUCUAUCAUAUUUUGGAACCUUCUCUCGAAUCAUAUCAAUUGACUAUAGCCGUCCCCUUCCUGGAUUUUCCUAAUAAUUGGUGGCCCCACCACAUGAAAUUUCUUACCCUUAUCUCAAGCAGAACAACACAAUCUUGCAUGCAAUUCAAACUAAACUGUAUUUUUCCAAAUUAGUGACAAAUGAUGUAUCAAAUACCUUGAUUUACACAUCAGAUCUUUUAAGAGGAAACUACGUGCACAAAAAUCUGUAAGAAAAAGUACAUACAAAAUUGUUUUUGUGAUUUAAAUCUAAAUCUUGACUGGGGUCAGACGCCUUUUUCUUCGUGGAAAAUUACAAAAAGAAAUUCAGGGUUUUAAUUUACUUUAUAAUUUUAAUUGUAACAAAUUAAAUUCAUGAGUUUUGAAUUAGCUAAAAUUAAAACUCUCCGUUCAUUUUUGUUUUAUUAGAAUUGACAUAACCAACUAAUUCUUGCCAAAAAAAAAUACCUUUCAAAGUUGUCAGCCUUUAAAAAACCUUAAUCGAUGCAAUUAGAACUCAUUUUUAAGUGAAAAUCGAUGCAAUUAUGAUUCAUUUUCAAGUUAAAUGAUAAAUUUAUUUUUCAGAAUUUUUUUAAAAAUGAGAUUUAAUUGCAUCAAUUAAAGGGUGACAACGUUGAAAUAUAUCACUUUUCUAAAUUUUUUUGACAAAAAUUAGUUAGUUCCGUCAAUUCUAAUGAAAUAAAGACUUUCCGAGAGUUUUAAGUGUGCUCAGAUAAAUACUUUAGAGUUUAAUUUGUUAUAAUUAAAAUUACGUGAUUUAAUUUGUUGCUGAACUCAAACUUUUUUUUUUUUUUAUACUUUUUCCUUUUUUUUCUAAUUGUUUUCGUUGAACUUUUGGCACUUUGGACUUUUAAAAAAAUUUUUUGUCUUCUCUUUUUGGUUCAGUUUUCAAAUCAAUUUUGUAAAAAAAAAAAAAUCUUCAUUUUUUCUCAUAUGUUUUUAAUUUUUUACCCAUUUUUUUUUGAAAAUUUAAAAUAUCUUUUUAAUAUUUUCUCAAAAAUACUUUUUUUUUUCAAAAAUUUCAAAAAACACGUUUCAAAUCCAUAAACCAAAAAGGUUUUUUGAAAACAACUUCACAAAAACUGAUUCCCAACAACUAAACCAAAGGAGAAGAUGCAAGAGAUCACGUCAAUCAAAAAUCAAUACUAAAUUACAACAACAACAAAAAAAAACAAUAAAGAAAAUCAAUACUACCCAGUCCAUCAAUUCUCAUGAAGAAAAGUAAAAAUAAUCAGUUAGCGGAACAAUUGAGAGGCGGACUCACCGAGCAAUCGGACAAGAUGCUUGUGAAGCGGGGACGAUUGAUUAUGGUGACCUAGCUCCGCCCAGAAAUCGUCCUUGUGUCCCUUGAUAGCUCUCUCUUGAGAACCGCUUCACAGCCACCUCCAAAUUCUCAUUUGGCAAAGCCCUCUGUAACAUCCCCUACCCGCCCUGACCCAGCUGUUUCUCUCAUCGAACUUGUUCGUCGCCUUCUCUUCAGUCCUUUAAUAUACGCUCUCUCGGCGUCCCAUCCCCGGAAAAAAGUCUCUUCAACGCCCCCAGAAUGCUCGAAUUGGACCUGAUUAUCCGCCGUUUGCGGAGGAAAAGCCGGAACCCGCCCCGCCGCCACAAACGCCAGUGUCGGCACACGGGGCGACGGAGACCGUGACCCAGGGGAAUUCUUUUCCGAACAUACUCCACAGUCAGUUCCACCACCGGA
rnacentral:lncRNA from 1 species